UAAUACGGAGGGUGCAAGCGUUAAUCGGAAUUACUGGGCGUAAAGCGCACGCAGGCGGUUUGUUAAGUCAGAUGUGAAAUCCCCGGGCUCAACCUGGGAACUGCAUUUGAAACUGGCAAGCUAGAGUCUCGUAGAGGGGGGUAGAAUUCCAGGUGUAGCGGUGAAAUGCGUAGAGAUCUGGAGGAAUACCGGUGGCGAAGGCGGCCCCCUGGACGAAGACUGACACUCAGGUGCGAAAGCGUGGGGAGCAAACAGGAUUAGAUACCCUGGUAGUCCACGCUGUAAACGAUGUCGAUUUGGAGGUUGUGCCCUUGAGGCGUGGCUUCCGGAGCUAACGCGUUAAAUCGACCGCCUGGGGAGUACGGCCGCAAGGUUA
rnacentral:rRNA from 1 species